ACGAACGCUGGCGGCGUGGAUAAGACAUGCAAGUCGAACGAGAGAAUUGCUAGCUUGCUAAUAAUUCUCUAGUGGCGCACGGGUGAGUAACACGUGAGUAACCUGCCCCCGAGAGCGGGAUAGCCCUGGGAAACUGGGAUUAAUACCGCAUAGUAUCGAAAGAUUAAAGCAGCAAUGCGCUUGGGGAUGGGCUCGCGGCCUAUUAGUUAGUUGGUGAGGUAACGGCUCACCAAGGCGAUGACGGGUAGCCGGUCUGAGAGGAUGUCCGGCCACACUGGAACUGAGACACGGUCCAGACACCUACGGGUGGCAGCAGUCGGGAAUCAUUCACAAUGGGGGAAACCCUGAUGGUGCGACGCCGCGUGGGGGAAUGAAGGUCUUCGGAUUGUAAACCCCUGUCAUGUGGGAGCAAAUUAAAAAGAUAGUACCACAAGAGGAAGAGACGGCUAACUCUGUGCCAGCAGCCGCGGUAAUACAGAGGUCUCAAGCGUUGUUCGGAAUCACUGGGCGUAAAGCGUGCGUAGGCUGUUUCGUAAGUCGUGUGUGAAAGGCGCGGGCUCAACCCGCGGACGGCACAUGAUACUGCGAGACUAGAGUAAUGGAGGGGGAACCGGAAUUCUCGGUGUAGCAGUGAAAUGCGUAGAUAUCGAGAGGAACACUCGUGGCGAAGGCGGGUUCCUGGACAUUAACUGACGCUGAGGCACGAAGGCCAGGGGAGCGAAAGGGAUUAGAUACCCCUGUAGUCCUGGCAGUAAACGGUGCACGCUUGGUGUGCGGGGAAUCGACCCCCUGCGUGCCGGAGCUAACGCGUUAAGCGUGCCGCCUGGGGAGUACGGUCGCAAGAUUAAAACUCAAAGAAAUUGACGGGGACCCGCACAAGCGGUGGAGUAUGUGGCUUAAUUCGAUGCAACGCGAAGAACCUUACCUGGGCUUGACAUGUAAUGAACAACAUGUGAAAGCAUGCGACUCUUCGGAGGCGUUACACAGGUGCUGCAUGGCCGUCGUCAGCUCGUGUCGUGAGAUGUUUGGUUAAGUCCAGCAACGAGCGCAACCCCUGUUGCCAGUUACCAGCACGUGAAGGUGGGGACUCUGGCGAGACUGCCCAGAUCAACUGGGAGGAAGGUGGGGACGACGUCAGGUCAGUAUGGCCCUUAUGCCCAGGGCUGCACACGUACUACAAUGCCCAGUACAGAGGGGGCCGAAGCCGCGAGGCGGAGGAAAUCCUAAAAACUGGGCCCAGUUCGGACUGUAGGCUGCAACCCGCCUACACGAAGCCGGAAUCGCUAGUAAUGGCGCAUCAGCUACGGCGCCGUGAAUACGUUCCCGGGUCUUGUAUACACCGCCCGUCACAUCAUGGAAGCCGGUCGCACCCGAAGUAUCUGAAGCCAACCGCAAGGAGGCAGGGUCCUAAGGUGAGACUGGUAACUGGGAUG
rnacentral:rRNA from 1 species